CCCUUAAUCAUACCUACCAUCUUAUAACUAUCACUUAUUUUAUGUGUGUAUUCUUCUUAUAUCUUCAAUCCACUUUUACAUAAUGUUUAGCUAAUUAAUCUUUCUUUAAAACCCUUCGAUUUUGUAUUAUGUUAAUUCAAAUUUAUUUCCCUAAAAGGUUAUGACUAUGUUUCGAUAUCAAACAAUCGUUACACUAAAAAGUGAACAAGAUGAGUGUUUCUUGUUUAGUAAUACUUUUUCGGAGCAAUGGGAUAAUUAUUCCAAAUCUUUGAGGAUUUUAAAUUUUAAUCCAAAAGUUUUUUCCGAUGAAAAAUUCGGCAGCGUCUCCUCUAUAUAUUGGUCCUCAUUCCAUCUGUGAAUGAUAAAAUUUCAAUCCAGUGGACUCUCAAUCUUAACUUUCCUAACCUUCCUUCAACCACAAACACAAUUUUCAAAUCAAAUCAACACUUCAAAGAUACCAAGUGUCAACAAUGAGAAAGGAAUAAUGGAUUGAGUGACCACAUUAUUUAUUAAUAUAUUUUUGGAUAAUGGCAUAAAAAAUUUAAACCUUUAAAGAUUUUUUGCAUUUCAAUUAAAAAGAUUUUACUAGCUACAAUAACUUAGAAUUUAAAAACAUUUAGCGAUUCAAUUCAAAUUUGAAAUGUAAGUGGGAAAGCAUUUGCCGGUGGCAACGUUCCAUCUGUAUUUUUUUAUUACUUAACGGUGGAUCAUACGCUACACAUUGAAUAACCAAUGUGAGAAAUUAACUGCCAGUUAAUGGUAAAAAUCCAAGCUUGGUGUUUAACUAACCUGACUUAAAGUCAAAUUUGGAAAUUGUCGGAACAGUUCAACUAUGCUUUUCCUAAGCGAAGCAACGCUAUAGUCUCCAACAUCUAGAGAGCUCAAAUCAAAGCCGUCUCACAACCUAGGAUCCUUAGUCAUCAGCACCACCGCCGGUGCAGUCUGUGCUACGUGAGUGACCUUUCGCUCCUAAAUUACUGUCAACAUUGUCUUCAUAUCAAAUUUACCUAUGGACACCACCGUCGCUCCCAUAGUUAAAGCCCUCACGAAAUAACAUAAACCAUAAACAUGAAAAUAAGGCAAAAGGAAGUUGCAGCUGCCAUCCAGGUCGUGUAAACCUCAUGACUUACAGCCACUAUACAUGUGAAAUUUCGAUGAGUCAAAACCACUCCAUCAACUCGACCAGUAGUCCGUGAGGAUAUAGAAUCAUCGCAGGGUCCAAUCGGUAAACCUUCCCUCGAGUACGAUUUUUUUGAGAUUAGGAAUUAUACGAGCAGCAUUCGACGUUACGAACACAAUUACAGGUAUUGACAGCUGAAUUUGGUGGAGAAUCUCAUGUUUAAAGAUAAUUGAUUCUUAAGGAGACCUAACGACACCGAGAGAGAAGAUACAGAAAUAAAGAAUCGAAAGGUGAAUAGAGUUAGGAGAAAGAACAAAGGCAAUAUCUACUUUUCUGAAGCCAAAAUGGUGGUGAAGCGAGAAGUCUAUUUUUUUGUGCGAAGGAUGAAGUCGGGAAAAUAAAUUCGACAGGGAGUGACGGCAUCGAAGAGAGCGUUUUAUGUUUUUCUACACCAAUUAAGAAUUUUAACUUAACUAACCAAGGAUUAAUAUCUCACCUUGGUUAUCCAAGGUGUAGCGUAGUGUCCACCGUCAAGUAAUAAAAAAAUACAAUAUGGCCUGCUACCGAUAGAUGCUCCCCCACUUUCAAUUCAAAUUUGGAAAGAAUCGCCAAAUAUUUUUAAAUCUUAAUUCAUUGUGCCAAGAAAUAAAAUUUUGGAUUUUUUAUGCCAUUAUCCUUUUUUCUUCAAGCAACAAUUUAAUUUAGUCUGCUAGUGAAUGAGGAUUUGGGGUAGCUGCGACACUUCGUCUAUGCCUUAUAACUUCUAAUGCCAACUUACGUUUUAUAUCUAGACUGUGACACUGCCUUUCAAGUGUUGUUUUAUAUCAUAAAUUACACCUAUUGGCAUGCCAAUUGCCGUUUUUUUUUGCAAGCUUUCCAAGUUAUUCAUUUUAGGUACUUCAGUAUGCUCCUACUCUAAGUUAUAGUCAAGUUUUGGCAAUAUUAAGGGUCUAAUUCACUCAUGGUCUCUUUAUGAAAAUUGCUCUCCUAUAUCUUAGCUAAUUCAGUGAUUUCUUUUGUGGCUUUACUUUUAUCUAUAAUCUUACAAAUAUUAUUAUUUGCAUGCUAAUUAUUUUAGUCAUACUAAACUUAUUAAAUUUUCAUUAAGUAAUUUAUUCGACGUGAAAAUCUACUAAUAUGGCUUGAAUUUACACCGCUGCUAUUUGCUAAUUAAAGCCUUAACAUUUAUUAUCCUUGGACCGCACCCGAAGGCUGCCUACGUACCUCCAAUAGAGGAUCAGGCCUACGUAGCUCUUAACAAUAGAUAAUAACAUAAAGUUUAUACUAACAUAAUUUAUUCUAGCUAAUAAUCAACUACAUUAUCACAUUAUAUUUAGAAUCCAGUAAAUAACUAAGGAAACAUAAAUAAUUAUAUUUUCAUAGCUAUAUUUUGCACAAUAUUAUUAAGAAACUAGAUAUCAAUAUUCAAAAUAUGUAUAUAUAUAUAUAUACACACACACAAAUUUAUAUAUAAACAAAAAUCAAUAUAACUCAUCAAUAAUAAUUACUUGUACCGAUUAAAGCGUUUAAAAUCUAACUAUAUCACCAAUAUAAAUAACAACUAAACUUUUAAUAAACAAUAACUAUCUAAACUAACCCCUAAAUCAUACCUACCAUCUUAUAACUAUCACUUAUUUUAUGUGUGUACUCUUCUUGUAUCUUCAAUCUACAUUUACAUAAUGUUUAGCUAAUUAAUCUUUCUUUAAAACCCUUCGAUUUUGUAUUAUGAUAAUUCAAAUUUAUUUCCCUAAAAGGUUAUGACUAUGUUUCGAUAUCAAACAAUCGUUACGCUAAAAAGUGAACAAGAAGAUUGGUCACUGACAUGUUCUAGCCUAUUUCACCUACUCAUGGCUCUCCCUUUUUUCAUUUCUCUUGUAUUAUAAUAUACAUAAAAUGCCUCCUUUUAAUUACAAACAACACAAAAAACAAAUAUGUUUUUCGAGUACAUUGUCGCUAUCAUAGAAUUUUUCUAUACCUUAUUGCUGAUGUCUCUAGUAUUUUAUUUUAAAAGGAUAUAAACUUUUAUUAGAAGUCACUUCAUAGUAAUUAGAAACUUGUCAUGAAACAACUUCAGAUAUAAGGCAUCUACCAUAUCCUAGCAGAUUCUUAAAAGUGAUGCACAAACUUUCCAAUCAAUGCUGCAAUGUACAUAAUGUAAUCUGCAGCUUACAAUACACACAUUUGCAGCAUUGAAUAGGUUAUUGGGAUCACGACUUUAGACUAUCACCCCAAUCUUCUAAUACAUGUUGAAUGUCAAAUAACAUUCUUAGCCAACUUACAAAAACCUAUAGUAGAGUUAUAUCCUGACCUUAACUUGUAACGUAAAAACAUUUGCUUAUACUUGUUCCUUCUCCUUAAUACCUAGAACGGCCUAAACGUUAGUUCUAAUGUAUCUUCAAUCCCCCUUUACAAAAUGUUUAGUUAAUUAAACUUUCUUUAAAACUCUUGAAUCUGUUAUUAUAAUAAUUCAAAUUUAUUUCUCUCGAAGGUUAAGACUAUGUUUCGAUAUCAAACAAUCAUCACAGUAAAAAGUGAACAAGAAGAUUGGUCACUAACAUGUUCUAGCCUAUUUCACCUACUCAUACAUCUCCUUUUUUUCAUUUCUCUUAUAUCAUAAUAUUUAUAAAAUUCCUCUUUUUAAUGAUAAACAAAACAAAAACAAUUAUGAUUUUUGAGUACAUUGUCGCUCUCAUAGAAUUUUUCUAUACCUUAUUGCUAAUAUCUCUAGUAUUUUAUUCUAAAAGGAUAUAAACUUUUAUUUGAAGUCUAUUCAUAGCAGUUAGAAACUUGUCAUGGUACAACUGCAUCACAUAUAAGGCAUCUACUAUAUCCUAGCAGAUUCUUAAAAGUGAUGCACACAAUUUCCACUCAAUGCUACAAUGUCCAUAAUGCAAUCUGCAGCUUACAAUACAAACGUUUGUAGCAACGAAUAGAUUAUCGCGAUCACGACUUUAGACUAUCACCUCUAUCUUCUAACACAUGUUGAAUGUCAAAUAACAUUCUUAGCCAACUUACAAAAGCCUAUAGUAGAGUUAUAUCCAGACCUGAACCUAUAAGGUAUACACAUUUGCUUAUACUUGUUCCUUCUCCUUAACACCUAGAAACGCCUAAACGUUAGCUCUAAUACCACUAACUCCAACAUCCCUAUAAGGUUAUUUAACUAACCGAAAUGGAGAAGCACCGUGGUGCUUCUCUCAUUUUGUCAAUUAACUAUUAUCAUGUAUUUCAUGACAUUUAAUAUAUUUUUGGAUAAUGGCAUAUAAAAUUUAAACCUUUAUGAAUUUUUGCAUUUUAAUUAAAAUGAUUUUACUUGGUACAAUAAGUUAGGAUUUAAAAACAUUUAGCGAUUCAAUUCAAAUUUGAAAUGAAAGUGGGGGAGCAUUUGCCGGUAGCUAACGUGACGUUCCAUCUGCAUUUUUUUAUUACUUAAUGGUGGAUCAUACGCUACACACUGAAUAACCAAUAUGAGAAAUUAACCAUCGGUUAAUGGUAAAAAUCCAAGUUUGGUGUUUAUCUAACCUGACUUAAAGUCGAAUUUCGAAAUUGCUCACGGAAUAGUUCAGCUACGCUUUUUCUAAGCGAAGCAACGCUGCAACCUGCAACAUCUAGAGAGCUAAAAUCUUAGCCGUCUAACAACCUAGGAUCCUUACUUAUCAGCACCACCGCCGAUGCAGUCUAUCUUACACUCCUGAAUUACUGUCAGCAUUGUCUUCAUAUCAAAUCUACCUAUGGACACCAUCGCCACUCCCAUAGUUAAAACUCUCACGAAAUUACAUAAACCAUAAACAUGAAAAUAAGGCAACGAAAAAGAAAGAAAGUUGCAGCUGCCAUCCAGCUCGUGUAAACCGCAUGACUUAGGGCCACCAUGCAUCUGAAAUUUCGAUGAGCCAAAACCACUCCAUUAACUCGACCAGUAGUCCUUGAGGGUAGAGAAUUGUCCCAGGGUCCAAUUGGUAAACCUUCCCUCCUUCCAUUUCUCCACAGUGAGCUAGACUCAUCAUCAGCGAUUCAAACUCGGGAGAGUCGAGUACGAUUGUUUUCAGAUUAGGAAUUGUGUGAGCAGCAUUCGAUGUGACGAACACAAGUAUAGGUUUCGACAGCUGAAUUUGGUGGAGAAUCUCAAGUUUAAAGACACUUGAUUUUUUAGGAGAGGUAACGACACCGAGAGAGAAGAUAUAGAAAUAAAGGACCGAAAGCUGAAUAGAGUUAGGAGAAAGCACGAAGGCAAUAUCUCCUUUUCUGAGGCCAAAAUAGUGGUGAAGCGAGAAGGCCAACUUUUUGUGCGAAGGACGAAGUGGGGAAAAUAAAUUCGGCAGCGAGCGACAAUGUCGAUGAGAGCAUUUUAGGUUUUUCUACACCAUUUAAGAAUUUUACGUUAAUUAACCAACGAUUAAUACCUUGCCUUGGUUAUCCAAGGUGUAGCGUAGAGUCCAGCAUCGAGUAAUAUAAAAAUACAAUAUGGCCUGCUACCGACAAAUGCUCCCCCACUUUCAAUUAAAAUUUGCAAAAAAUUGCCAAAUAUUUUUAAAUCCUAAUUUAUUGUGCCAAAAAAUAAAAUUUUGGAUUUUUAUGCCAUUAUUCUUUAUUUUUUCAAGAAACAAUUUCAUUUAGUCUGCUAGUGAAUGAGGAUUUGGGAUAGGUGCGACACUUCGUCUAUGCCUUAUAACUGAACUACGACACUGCCUUUCAAAUGCCAACUUACGUUUUAUAUCUAGACUGUGACACUGCCUUUCAAUUGCUGUUUUAUAUCACAAAUUGCACCUAUUCGCAUGCCAAUUUUCGUUCCUUUGACAAGCUUUCUAAGUUAUUCAUUUUAGGUACUUGUGUAUGCUUCUAUCCUAAGUUAUAGUCAAGUUUUGGCAAUAUUAAGUGUCUAAUUCACUCAUGAUCUCUUUAUCAAAAUUGUUCUCCUAUAUCAUAGCUAAUUCAAUGAUUUCUUUUGUGGCUUUAUUUUUAUCUAUAAUCUUAUAAAUAUAAUUAUUUGUAUGUUAAUUAUUUUAGUCAUAUUAAACUUAUUAAAUUUCCAAUAAUUAAUUUAUUCAAAAUGAAAAUCUGUUAAUAUGGCUUGAAUUUACAUCGCUACUAUUUGCUAAUUAAAGUCUUAAAAUAUAUUAUAUUUCAACCGCGCCCGAAGGCUGCCUACGUACCUCCAAUAGAGGAUCAGGUCCACGUAGCUCUUAACAAUAGAUAAUAACAUAAAGUUUAUACUAACAUAAUUUAUUCUUGCUAAUAAUCAACCACAAUAUCACACUAUGCUAUACAAAAAUAAUCUUAUUCAUUUAUUCAACAAUCUAUUGGAGGAAUAAGGGUUAUAUCUAGAAACCAGUAAAUAACUAAGGAAACAUAAAUAAUUAUAUUUUCAUAUUUUUAUACCUAUACUUUGCACAAUCGUAUUAAGAAACUAAAUACCAAUAUUCAAAACAUAUAUAUAAAUAUAUAUAUACACAUAUUUAUAUAUAAACAGAUAUCAAUAUAACCUAUCAAUAAUAAUUACUUGUACCGAUUACAGUGUUUAAAAUCUAACUAUAUCACCAAUAUAGAUAAAAACUAAACUUCCAAUAAACAACAAUAAUAUCUCAAAUAAUAUCAAUUCCGCCAAAAUAAUUUAUCUAAUCUUAUCAAAUGUAAUAAUGCUUCUAAAAAGGGAAAAAGAAUAAACUUUUGUAGUGAUUAAUUCGGUUUUCCAACAUAGACCUUCAAUAUAAUCUUAAAGGCAAUUCUAUCCACUUCCAAGUGAUGAAUCGAAAUAUUUAUCAAGAAGUACAUUAGGAAUUCAUACACUAUUUAUGUCAUGUUCCUAAAAGUUGGAUAGACUAUACAAUCUUCCUUAUUUUUUUCCUAACUAGAGUAACUAAUAUGUCAUUAAUGAGAUAAAUUAACCCCUUAAUCACACCUACCAUCUCAUAACUAUCAUUUAUUUUAUGUGCGUAUUCUCCUUGUAUCUUCAAUCCCCCUUUACAAAAUGUUUAGUUAAUUAAACUUUCUUUAAAACUCUUGAAUCUGUUAUUAUAAUAAUUCAAAUUUAUUUCUCUCAAAGGUUAAGACUAUAUUUCGAUAUCAAACAAUCAUCACAGUAAAAAGUGAACAAGAAGAUUGGUCACUAACAUGUUCUAGCCUAUUUCACCUACUCAUAACUCUCCUUUUUUUCAUUUCUCUUAUAUCAUAAUAUUUAUAAAAUUCCUCUUUUUAAUGAUAAACAACACAAAAACAAUUAUGCUUUUUGAGUACAUUGUCGCUCUCAUAGAAUUUUUCUAUACCUUAUUGCUAAUAUCUCUAGUAUUUUAUUCUAAAAGGAUAUAAACUUUUAUUUGAAGUCUAUUCAUAGCAGUUAGAAACUUGUCAUGGUACAACUGCAUCAGAUAUAAGGCAUCUACUAUAUCCUAGCAGAUUCUUAAAAGUGAUGCAUACAAUUUCCACUCAAUGCUACAAUGUCCAUAAUGCAAUCUGCAGCUUACAAUACAAACGUUUGUAGCGAUGAAUAGAUUAUCGCGAUCACGACUUUAGACUAUCACCUCUAUCUUCUAACACAUGUUGAAUGUCAAAUAACAUUCUUAGCCAACUUACAAAAGCCUGUAGUAGAGUUAUAUCCAGNNNNN
rnacentral:lncRNA from 1 species